rnacentral:rRNA from 1 species
UGGGGAAUUUUGGACAAUGGGGGAAACCCUGAUCCAGCCAUCCCGCGUGUGCGAUGAAGGCCUUCGGGUUGUAAAGCACUUUUGGCAGGAAAGAAACGUCAUGGGUUAAUACCCCGUGAAACUGACGGUACCUGCAGAAUAAGCACCGGCUAACUACGUGCCAGCAGCCGCGGUAAUACGUAGGGUGCAAGCGUUAAUCGGAAUUACUGGGCGUAGAGCGUGCGCAGGCGGUUCGGAAAGAAAGAUGUCAAAUCCCAGAGCGCAACUUUGGAACUACAUUUUUAACUACCGGGCUAGAGUGUGUCAGAGGGAGGUGGAAUUCCGCGUGUAGCAGUGAAAUGCGUAGAUAUGCGGAGGAACAACGAUGGCGAAGGCAGCCUCCUGGGAUAACACUGACGCUCAUGCACGAAAGCGUGGGGAGCAAACAGG